GUAUUUUAAUGAACUAAAUAGAAUGAAGGAUCAUGAAUCAUGGAGGCAUGCAGAGUGUCUGCAUGAACCUAGUAGUGCUUAGCUUGUUUUUUUAGUUGCUGUUUUGUUGAUGUUGUUAAUAUUGUUUUAUAGAUUAUAAAUGCUGUAUUGAUUGUUAAUCAUAUAAUAUGCUUUUUGCUGUAAUUGUGAUGUUUAGCUUAAUUCUUUAGUUGCUGCUCUGUUAAUAGUGUUUUAUAGAUUGUAAUUGUUUUAGAGAUGAUUUGUUAAUUAUUUUAUAUGAUUGAUGCUGUAUUUGUGAUUUUUAUUAUGUCAUUGUUAUUUAUUGUUUGUAAGCCACUUUAAGAUUCAUUUGAAUGAAAAGCAGCAUGGAAAUGCAAUAAAUCAAAUAUUCAGCUGACAUAUGGAAUGUGCAUAGCAUAUUCUCUUCAGUAACUAGGAGGAGAAUACUAGAAAGAGACAGUAAGAGCCAUAAAUAUUUACACAUAUUCUCUUUUUCUGUAGAACUUCAAGGAGGUAGUGAGUCAAAAUCCAGCAAUUGAACGUAUGCAAAAGUUGCUUAGCUAGGCUGGUAAAGUUAUUGAAGAGAGACCACACAGUUAUUUAGCAUGAAUUUGUGCACCUGUGCUUUAUUUUGAUUUUACUAGUGGCAUGAGCAGAUGACUCCCACCACCUUUCUUUUGACAGUAGAAAUGCUGAUUGUGGCUUCAGUUUCCUAUCUGCCCAAGACACGGGAGUGUGUGUGAGAGAGAGAGAGAGCAGAUAAAAUCUCAGACAGAAAGAAAAAAAAAUCUCAGACAGAAUGAAGGAGGAGAAUGUUCUCAACGCUAAUUCUCUUAAAUGAGAUCUUGUCCUGGUCAUGAUGUUGGUGAUGUGGGCACAGUCUGUUGGGAACUUGAGUGAGCCUCCCUGGAGCAUUUUCACAAUUGUUAUCCUAAUGCUGCUAGCUGACAGUAGCAGAAAGCUUCCCUUCCCCACUCAUUUUAUAUAGUCAAUUAAAAAAACACACCCUUUCAUCUUGUGUCCUUGGAGCCAACCCCUGAAUCGCCUUAUGGGCACAAUGUUCCUUUGUGUUUGUGCUGCUCUCUGCUUCCUUCACUCUGUUUUGAUUACUUACUACUGCUAACAGCUGCUUUCCGAGUUGCUGUGUUAGCUUUACUUAGGAUGACGGCUGGUCUUGCUUUCAUCUGCUGAAAUGGGUGAGGCUUUUAAGCGAGUGCUAAUUCCACAGGAAACAAAUCCCCCUGCCAUCUUCGGAAUGCAGGGUGUUGCAACAAAAACACAGUUGUAUGAAUAUGGGAUUUUCAGAGAUCUGGAUAAAGCGUUAUAGGCGCAGUAACCAUGCAGAACACUUGCAGCCUGAUUUGAAGCAUCUUGUUUAAAGGUAACUUUCACUGAUUUCAAUGAGAAAUAUUGUUAAGUGUUAGGAUUGUGUGCUUUAUAACUGAUGCCAGCUUAGGACAAAGUGUGAACUUUUACCAGAGACUUGAGCAGUGUUGCAGAUUUUGUCUGCAGUGCAGACGAGAUAACGGUCCCCAAAAUUCUGAAAAUGUUAUUUUCAGAAAAGGAUUCCAGAUUGAAACCAUAAUACCUCUAACCUAGAAGCUGACAAGCAUGAGAUGAGUGAAUUAGCACUCUUCUGCUUGUGAUUCCCAGCAACUGAUCUUCAGAGAUAUCUGGAACCAGGAUCCUGAAGGUAACCAUGAUCAUGAGCCUUAAAGUUGCACCAAAUGCUCCUGGAGGUUUGACAUGCACUGUUUUUCAUAGGGAAAAUUAAUGCCUCUAAGUGGGUGGACCAUAUUUGUUCUACUUAAAUAGCUAGCAGUGUUGUUUUGGGCUUACUGAAAUGAACAGAUUUGUAUGCAGCAGAGACAGCACAUUAUAUUCGAGUCCCGGUAUAUUGUAAAGAAAGUGAACAGCGGCAUAACCUUCUAAAAUAAAAUACCCAAGCCCAUUGAGUGACUGUAUGUGCUUUAGUAUAUGCCUUGCCUUGCCUAGCUUAAUCUCAACCCUGCACUAGAUGCUUUUCCUGAACGUCUUGCAUUCAUUUUUUAUGCAGGUAUUAAAAACCGGAUUCACUUCAUUACUUUCAAACUACAGUGAAUAGUUUUUCCUCUGUGUGUGCCAUUUCCUACAGUGCAAGUGUGGGGAAGAGGGCCAAGGAUAACACUGCAUGUGAAUGGGGUCUCAGUUUCCUUUUAUAAGGCACUAAAGGGGAGCUCUCUUCACUUGUUUAAAAGCAUGCUGUAUUAUUUUUCUCACUUCUUUCACAUGAUUUCACUGUAAAUGAAAACAAAUGUUGUUUGAGCAGAACCUUGGGAGGCACCUUCUUUGAUCCCUAACAUAGAUAAAUGCAUAGAACUAAAGCUCUGAGCAAGAAAAGAAGUGAUCCUGCAUUUAUUUUUGUAAAUACAGGCAGAAGCAAGUGUUUGUGCUUGUAUGACACAUACAAACGCAUCCACACUUUUCCUCAAGGAUCUGAAAUGCUUUUAAGAUUGUUCACUGUGUCUCACACAGUCACUUUUAGAAAUAGAGUUGGGAGGAUUUGGGUGUCAGUUUUAUUUUUCAGCACUUACAUCUGUAGCUUUUUAUAUAGCCAUAUGAUUGCUUUCCUACAACUUCCUUGAUCUCUCAUAUUCUAAUGUAGAACUUUCCCAUUAAUUGAGUGCUACUUAGUGCUGUGAGUUCGUAAUGUAUAAAAGUAGCAGGAUGCAACCCAGCUGAUAGAACUGAACUCUCCUCCACCAAAGAGAUGUUCAGUUUUCUCCAGCUGUUUUAAGGAGUCUGUGUGAACGAAACGAGAGUGUUCUGUACAUUUAUUGUUAGAAGUAGCAUUACUAUUAUUAUUAGCCUUGAACACAGAUUUCAAAACCUCUCUUUGGCUCAGAUGCGUAUCUCCAGGAAACACUGAAAUGGCUGCAUGGAAACAGCAUCCCUAAGGCAGGCCAAAGGAUUAGCAUCCAAAAGGCUGCCUCUCCAUCUAUUGCAUACUUCAUUUUUGUUUCUCUCCUGCACUCUGAAUCCUCAUACAGCAAACCUCGGCUUUAGAUUCACACAAACAUCUGCCCGCAAUUCUGGAGCACAGGGGAAGGGGGAGUGGAUAAGUAGAAAACUUUACUCAUAGAAAUCAAUGUUAUGCUGCACAAUCUCGCCCCCCCAACCCCUUAUUUCUUUAACUAUAAAAAUAUGUUUUCUUAAUUACACACACACCCCACUUUUAACUUAAUUGCUCUAAGAAAGAAAGGGGCUUGGAUAUUAAGUAUUCCUGCUUGGCCAGGCAUCAGAAUUGAUGCAAUGCUCACAACGAACGGAGCUGCUGAUUAUUUGCAUGAGUUGGCACACUUUUUGACUCAGGAUGAAUUCAGUGGAAAGCCAUUCUUACAGCUAUUUUCCAUCAUGAUGGUGAUGCAUUUG